UAUCAUAUGAAGAUAAUUUUAUUCGAGAUAUUGUUGAACAUUAAAUGUGAACAUCUCUUUCGAUUGGGGUUAAUCUUUUAUUUGUCGAAAGUUUAACCUCUUUCACUAGAUCCAACCCUUUUUAUAGCUUCUAUAACUUUUUUUUUUCAUUAUUCAACACUAUUAUUUCUCUUGUAUCUUUUCCUGUGUCUUUAUAGAAGGGAUAAAAGAGAAAUAAAACAUAUAUAUAAUAAAACUUUAGUAUAAAAAGAAGGAAAAAAUACCUCCAGUUAUCAUCAAAAUUUUCAUGUGAAUUUUUUACUAAAGUUAAGUAAUCAAAUUGAGUGAGAUAAUAAAAUAAACACCACACAUUGAUGUAUAUCUAAGAGAUACUUAACAAUAAUUCUUAAUUUAUAAAUGACUUCUUGUAACUUUGUAAGUAUUAAAAACUACUAAAUCAAGGUUAAUAAUGCAUAGAGUUUUACUUAUAUAAAGUGAUGGACCAAUUUUCUGUGUAAUGUAUACAAAGGACGAAAAAAAUGAUUAUAGUUCUAAAAUUCGUUUAUGUUUUGAUCAUAUUUUUUCCUCUAAUUGUUCUUGUAAUGAGCAAUCAUACUGUAUUAUUAUGUACUAAACAUCGUGAUUGUCAAUCUAAUACAUGUGACUCUCCUUUUGUUCCGGGGUGCCUUAAAAUUUUUUGUACAUGCCAACUCAUGGACAAAAGUUGAAAAAUAAUUAUAUUUUAUUUUUAAGCGUAUAAUUUUCAUGUAAGUCAUGAUUUUUUUUUUUAAGGAUUAUGUAAGUCAUGAUAUUGGAACUUGAAGAAUAAAUUUAAUAAAUACCGUACUAGUGUAUUGCUCUGGUAUUAUCCAAGUUAGCCAUGUAUAACAUUAUUGUUCAUGUUAUGCACAAUAUUUAUUUAAAAAAUUAUAUAUUUUAUUAGUACAUGUUUAUAUUGCUCAAACAUUAUUGUCAAUCA